GAUGAACGCUGGCGGCGUGCCUAAUACAUGCAAGUCGAACGGUCUCUUCGGAGGCAGUGGCGGACGGGUGAGUAACGCGUGGGAACGUGCCCUUUGGUACGGAACAACUGAGGGAAACUUCAGCUAAUACCGUAUGUGCCCUUCGGGGGAAAGAUUUAUCGCCAUUGGAGCGGCCCGCGUUGGAUUAGCUAGUUGGUGGGGUAAUGGCCCACCAAGGCGACGAUCCAUAGUUGGUCUGAGAGGAUGAUCAGCCACACUGGGACUGAGACACGGCCCAGACUCCUACGGGAGGCAGCAGUAGGGAUUCUUGCGCAAUGGGCGAAAGCCUGACGCAGCCAUGCCGCGUGAAUGAUGAAGGUCUUAGGAUUGUAAAAUUCUUUCACCGGGGACGAUAAUGACGGUACCCGGAGAAGAAGCCCCGGCUAACUUCGUGCCAGCCGCCGCUGUAACAC
rnacentral:rRNA from 1 species